rnacentral:ncRNA from 1 species
AAAACGAUGUUGAUUAGGAGUAGUAAGUACAGUGUUUUGUCUCAGCGAGUCGAGGAUAGUGUAAGCUCGAUACAAUAGCUAUGCUGAAGACACCUAUAAAUUGGUCUUCUGAAAUAAUGUAGGGGGAUCCGUGACCAGCGUUAAUGGUAAAGUGGGACUUUGUCCAACUAGGGUGGCACCGCGGGAAUAAACCUCUCGUCCCUUCU